rnacentral:lncRNA from 1 species
UUGAGACAUUUAAUUCAAUAUAAAAUGUUAAUUAGUCUUAAAUAAUAAGAAAUGAAAAAAUAUUUUAUAGGAAAAGUAUAAAAAAAAUAUUAAAAAAUAUCUCUUAGAAAAAGGCAAUAAAAUAACUUUAGCAUAUACUAGUUUGUCGAUGAGGGUUGGAGUUUCCUAUUUGCAGCUGAUAACAUAAUUAUCUUAAAUUUUUUUAAAAAAAUACUACCUGAACAUUUGUACAUAGAUAUAAAUCUUACAUACGAAACCAAAACAAAUUUUAA